rnacentral:rRNA from 1 species
GACGAACGCUGGCGGCGUGCUUAACACAUGCAAGUCGAACGGAAAGGCGCUGCUUUUGUGGGGUGCUCGAGUGGCGAACGGGUGAGUAACACGUGAGUAACCUGCCCUUGACUUUGGGAUAACUUCAGGAAACUGGGGCUAAUACCGGAUAGAAGCUCCUGCUGCACGGGGGGGGUUGGAAAGUUUCGGCGGUUGGGGAUGGACGCGCGGGUUAUCAGCUGGUUGGUGGGGUAGGGGAUGACCAAGGCUUUGAAGGGUAGCCGGCCUGGGAGGGGGACCGGCGACCUUGCGCCUGCGAGACGCCCCAGACUCCUACGGGAGGCAGCGGUGGGGAAUAUUGCACAGUGAGCGGACGUCUGUUGCGGCGACCCCGCGUUCGGGAUGACGGCCUUCGGGUUGUAAACCGCUUUCGCCUGUGACGAAGCGUGAGUGACGGUAAUGGGUAAAGAAGCACCGGCUAACUACGUG